rnacentral:rRNA from 1 species
GCCCAGACUCCUACGGGAGGCUGCAGUCGAGAAUCUUUCGCAAUGGGCGAAAGCCUGACGAAGCGACGCCGUGUGAGCGAUGAAGGCCUUCGGGUCGUAAAGCUCUUUCGCUUAGGAACAAGGGA